CCUACGGGAGGCUGCAGUGAGGAAUAUUGGUCAAUGGACGAGAGUCUGAACCAGCCAAGUAGCGUGAAGGAUGACUGCCCUAUGGGUUGUAAACUUCUUUUAUAUGGGAAUAAAACGUUCCACGUGUGGGAUUUUGUAUGUACCAUAUGAAUAAGGAUCGGCUAACUCCGUGCCAGCAGCCGCGGUAAUACGGAGGAUCCGAGCGUUAUCCGGAUUUAUUGGGUUUAAAGGGAGCGUAGGUGGAUUGUUAAGUCAGUUGUGAAAGUUUGCGGGUCAACCGUAAAAUUGCAGUUGAAACUGGCAGUCUUGAGUACAGUAGAGGUGGGCGGAAUUCGUGGUGUAGCGGUGAAAUGCUUAGAUAUCACGAAGAACUCCGAUUGCGAAGGCAGUUCACUGGACUGCAACUGACACUGAGGCUCGAAAGUGUGGGUAUCAAACAGGAUUAGAUACCCCUGUAGUC
rnacentral:rRNA from 1 species